rnacentral:rRNA from 1 species
CCUACGGGAGGCAGCAGUGGGGAAUAUUGCACAAUGGGCGCAAGCCUGAUGCAGCCACGCCGCGUGUGUGAAGAAGGCCUUCGGGUUGUAAAGCACUUUCAGCGGGGAGGAAGGCGGUGAGGUUAAUAACCUCAUCGAUUGACGUUACCCGCAGAAGAAGCACCGGCUAACUCCGUGCCAGCAGCCGCGGUAAUACGGAGGGUGCAAGCGUUAAUCGGAAUUACUGGGCGUAAAGCGCACGCAGGCGGUCUGUCAAGUCGGAUGUGAAAUCCCCGGGCUCAACCUGGGAACUGCAUUCGAAACUGGCAGGCUAGAGUCUUGUAGAGGGGGGUAGAAUUCCAGGUGUAGCGGUGAAAUGCGUAGAGAUCUGGAGGAAUACCGGUGGCGAAGGCGGCCCCCUGGACAAAGACUGACGCUCAGGUGCGAAAGCGUGGGGAGCAAACAGGAUUAGAUACCCGAGUAGUC